rnacentral:tRNA from 1 species
AAUUAGGUAAGCUAAUUAAGCUAACAGGUUCAUACCCUGUCAAUAGAAGAGAACACUUCUCCUAAUUA